CAAUUUUAUUUAAUUAUAAUGUAAUUUCUUCUUUUAGAUUGCAAAACAGUAGCGACUUAGUCACAUUCUUAAGAUUUGGGAUUCACCAUCAGCACCUUCAACGCUUGCAUCUUCAUCGCCAGGAGCACCAUUAGAACCUUCUGCCCUCAGCUUCUUCAUCGCCAGGAUCACCACCAGUACCUUCUACCCUCAGCUCCUUCAUCGCCAGGAGCACCAUGGGUACCUUCCGCCCAUCAC